GAUGAACGCUGGCGGCGUGCCUUAAGCAUGCAAGUCGGACGGGAUUUUGGAGUCGCAAGAUUUUGAUUUCUAGUGGCGGACGGGUGAGUAAUGCAUCGGAACGUACCGUGUAAUGGGGGAUAACGUAGCGAAAGUUACGCUAAUACCGCAUACGACCUGAGGGUGAAAGCAGGGGAUCGCAAGACCUUGCGUUAGACGAGCGGCCGAUGUCAGAUUAGCUAGUUGGUGAGGUAAAGGCUCACCAAGGCGACGAUCUGUAGCGGGUCUGAGAGGAUGAUCCGCCACACUGGGACUGAGACACGGCCCAGACUCCUACGGGAGGCAGCAGUGGGGAAUUUUGGACAAUGGGGGCAACCCUGAUCCAGCCAUGCCGCGUGAGUGAAGAAGGCCUUCGGGUUGUAAAGCUCUUUCGGCCGGGAAGAAAUCGCACAGGCUAAUACUCUGUGUGGAUGACGGUACCGGCAUAAGAAGCACCGGCUAACUACGUGCCAGCCGCCGCGGUAA
rnacentral:rRNA from 1 species